rnacentral:lncRNA from 1 species
GUACUGAAAUUUUGAAGUCGUCUUACUCAAAAAGUAUAGAUGCAUGAAAAUUAAAAGUAACUGAAUGUUAGAAAGAAGGUUAUAUAUCUACCCUUUGUUUCUAGGCUAAUUUUAACUCCGUUGGUUCGGCUGUGCCUUUCCGUGAAUACUUGUGCCUGUACAGACGAUGGUAGAAACAAGUAGCUGAUGACAGAGAAAAUGCAGGGUUAAAAAUUCACCAAAUCUGGAGUCGGGAAGGAAUUUCCCUCAUGAGCAUAAUGUCAGCAACAUAAUCAGGGCUUGGGAACAAUCUGUUAGCACACAGAGAAGGGAUUAUGGUAGGACCAGCCACUCAGAUAAUGCUCAGGCAGGAGUGCAGAAAUCCACUGAGACUCUGUAUGUAUAUAUUGAGAGGAUUACCAUGUGCAAUUAACUAAAUUGGAGAGUAAGCUAAGUAGAAGCUAAAUGUAUUUCAGAAAAAAAGAAAGAAAUAAAGAAAAGCAGCAGUAUUCCUCGGACUCUUGAGAAUGUACCUCCCUGACAGCCCAAGCUGCAAGCAGAAAGUUGCAGAAAGAAUUCAAGACAUGUUGUUACAAAUGGAUCUACGCUGAAUUAUGUUUAUUUGAAUCCAUCAAUUCUGUGAUUUUCUCCGUCCUUAUCUCAAUAUGUGUCUUAUUGUAUGUAACUUACCUUUUUCAAAAAUAAUUGAUGUAUCAAGAGAGAAUACAGACUAAAAAGUAAAACAAUGCAUUUAUAAACUCAAUAAACAACAUAAAGAAGGGUGAUCUAGGGCAGAAUGCCGUUGUUUCUGGCUGUCUCUCUUUGAACACAAUAUCAGGACAGGUGUCUGUUCUAUUACAAGGAUUACCGUGGGCCUCAUGCACAGUGGGGAAAGGCAAGAUGAGAUUUAGGUGAUACGAUCUACUCAGAAAAGAAGAACAACAGAUUUAUGUGUUCUUAGGUGCAAGCAUGGAGGGGGGGGAGCAGAAGAAAAAAAAUUAAAUUAUUGAAUGGUGUUUCUACCUCUUUUUAGUGUCAUUUGCAUCAGACAUCUGACACCCCACAGAUGUUUGGUUUGUUUCCUUUUCAUUCAGCUUUGAA